rnacentral:rRNA from 1 species
GCGAACGUUAGCGGUGUGGAUUAGGCAUGCAAGUCGCGCGCGAAAGCCUUCGGGCAAGUAAAGCGGCGGACGGGUGAGUAACACGUAACCAACCUACCCUCGAGACUGGAAUAACCACUGGAAACGGUGGGUAAUGCCGGAUGGUCCAUUCGGGCGGCAUCGUCUGAUUGGUAAAUGGCUUCGGCUGUUCGAGGAGGGGGUUGCGGGCUAUUAGCUAGUUGGCGGGGUAAUGGCCCACCAAGGCUAUGAUGGCUAACAGGUCUGAGAGGACGAUCUGUCACACUGGGACUGAGACACUGCCCAGACUCCUACGGGAGGCUGCAGUCGAGAAUCUUCCGCAAUGGGCGAAAGCCUGACGGAGCGACACCGCGUGUGGGAUGAAGGCCUUAGGGUUGUAAACCACUGUCACGCUAUAGGAAACCGGCUUCGGCCGCUGACCAAAGCGAAAGGAAGCACCGGCUAACUCCGU